AACGUAGGGGACAAGCGUUAUCCGGAUUUACUGGGCGUAAAGCGCCCGUAGGCGGCCUGACAAGUUGGACGUGAAAGCUCCUGGCUUAACUGGGAGAGGCCGUUCAAAACUGUCAAGCUAGAGUCUGGAAGAGGAGAGCGGAAUUCCCGGUGUAGUGGUGGAAUGCGUAGAGAUCGGGAGGAACACCAGUGGCGAAAGCGGCUCUCUGGUCCAAAACUGAUGCUGAGGGGCGAAAGCGUGGGGAGCGAACGGA
rnacentral:rRNA from 1 species